GAGUUUGAUCCUGGCUCAGAUUGAACGCUGGCGGCAUGCCUUACACAUGCAAGUCGAACGGCAGCACGGGGCAACCUGGUGGCGAGUGGCGAACGGGUGAGUAAUAUAUCGGAACGUACCCUGGAGUGGGGGAUAACGUAGCGAAAGUUACGCUAAUWCCGCAUACGAUYUAAGGAUGAAAGCAGGGGACCGCAAGGCCUUGUGCUCCUGGAGCGGCCGAUAUCUGAUUAGCUAGUUGGUGGGGUAAAGGCCUACCAAGGCAUCGAUCAGUAGCUGGUYUGAGAGGACGACCAGCCACACUGGAACUGAGACACGGUCCAGAYUCCUACGGGAGGCAGCAGUGGGGAAUUUUGGACAAUGGGCGCAAGCCUGAUCCAGCAAUGCCGCGUGAGGAAGAAGGCCUUCGGGUUGUAAARMUYUUUUGUCAGGGAAGAAAC
rnacentral:rRNA from 1 species